rnacentral:rRNA from 1 species
AUUGAACGCUGGCGGAAUGCUUUACACAUGCAAGUCGAGCGGCAGCGCGGGGGCGAACCCUCGGCGGCGAGCGGCGAACGGGUGAGUAACAUAUCGGAACGUACCCCGUCCGUGGGGAGUAACACAGCGAAGACUGUGCUAAUACCGCAUACGACCUGAGGGUGAAAGCGGGGGAGUCGCAAGACCUCGCGCGAUGGGAGCGGCCGAUAUCGGAUUAGCUUGUUGGUGAGGUAAAGGCUCACCAAGGCGACGAUCCGUAGCUGGUCUGAGAGGACGACCAGCCACACUGGAACUGAGACACGGUCCAGACUCCUACGGGAGGCAGCAGUGGGGGAAGUUUUGGUACAAUGGGGGCGAACCCUGAUCCAGCCAUUCCGCGUGAGUGAAGAAGGCC